GAUGAACGCUGGCGGCGUGCCUAACACAUGCAAGUCGAGCGAUCUCUUCGGAGAGAGCGGCGGACGGGUGAGUAACGCGUGGGUAACCUGCCCUGUACACACGGAUAACAUACCGAAAGGUAUACUAAUACGGGAUAACAUACGAAAGUCGCAUGGCUUUUGUAUCAAAGCUCCGGCGGUACAGGAUGGACCCGCGUCUGAUUAGCUAGUUGGUAAGGUAAUGGCUUACCAAGGCAACGAUCAGUAGCCGACCUGAGAGGGUGAUCGGCCACACUGGAACUGAGACACGGUCCAGACUCCUACGGGUGGCUG
rnacentral:rRNA from 1 species